rnacentral:rRNA from 1 species
AGUGAACGCUGGCGGCAGGCCUAACACAUGCAAGUCGAGCGGCAGCGCGUCCGACCACCCUCGGGUGGUCGGAUGGCGGCGAGCGGCGGACGGGUGAGGAAUGCAUCGGAAUCUGCCUCGUUGUGGGGGAUAACGUAGGGAAACUUACGCUAAUACCGCAUACGACCUACGGGUGAAAGUGGGGGACCUUCGGGCCUCACGCGAUGAGAUGAGCCGAUGCCGGAUUAGCUAGUUGGCGGGGUAAAGGCCCACCAAGGCGACGAUCCGUAGCUGGUCUGAGAGGAUGAUCAGCCACACUGGAACUGAGACACGGUCCAGACUCCUACGGGAGGCAGCAGUAAGGAAUAUUGGACAAUGGGCGCAAGCCUGAUCCAGCAAUGCCGCGUGUGUGAAGAAGGCCUGCGGGUUGUAAAGCACUUUCAGUGGGGAAGAACAGAUUCGGGUCAAUACCCCGGAGCCCUGACGUUACCCACAGAAGAAGCACCGGCUAACUCCGU